ACCAUUCUUUAUUCAUGGCUCUGUUCUUAGGCAAAAUGUGAGUGAGCCCACUCCCUUGGUUGAGAUGCAACCCCACACAUGAAUGGUCAUCAGCAUGCUUUACUGUUGGCAUGACACAGGACUGAUGGUAGCGCUCACCUUGUCUUCUCCGGACAAGCUUUUUUCUGGAUGCCCCAAACAAUUGGAAAGGGGAUUCAUCAGAGAAAAUGACUUUACCCCAGUCCUCAGCAGUCCAAUCCCUGUAACUUUUGUAGAAUAUCAGUCUGUCCCUGAUGUUUUUUCCUGGAGAGAAGUUGCUUUUUUGCUGCCCUUCUUGACACCAGGCAAUCCUCCAAUAGUCUUCACCUCACUGUGUGUGCAGAUGUAUUCACACCUACCUGCUGCCGUUCCUGAGCAAGCUCUGUACUGGUGGUGCCCCGAUCCCGCAGCUGAAUCAACUUUAGGAGAUGGUCCUGGCGCUUGCUGCACUUUCUUGGGCGCCCUGAAGCCUUCUUCACAACAAUUGAACCACUCUCCUUGAAGUUCUUGAUGAUCCGAUAAAUGGUUGAUUUAGGUGCAAUCUUACUGGCAGCAAUAUCCUUGCCUGUGAAGCCCUUUUUGUGCAAAGCAAUGAUGACGGGACGUGUUUCCUUGCAGGUAACCAUGUUUGGCAGAGGAAGAACAAUGAUUCCAAGCACCACCCUCCAGUCUGUUAUUUGAACUCAAUCAGCAUGACAGAGUGAUCUCCAGCCUUGUCCUCGUCAACACUCACACCUGUGUUAACGAGAGAAUCUCUGACAUGAUGUCAGCUGGUCUUUUUGUGGCAGGGCUGAAAUGCAGUGGAAAUAUUUUUGGGGAGAUUCAGUUUAUUUGCAUGGCAAAGAGGGACUUUGCAAUUAAUUGCAAUUGCAAUCACUCUUCAUAACAUUCUGGAGUAUAUGCAAAUUGCCAUCAUACAAACUGAGGCAGCAGACUUUGUGAAAUGUAAUAUUUGUGUCAUUCUCAAAACUUUUGGGCACUACUGUAUGUACCGUAGAAGGAUAAAUCAUACAAUUAUUAUUCUCAAGCUAACCAAAAGCGUUUAGCUACAAACACGUGUACUUGAAUUAGUUGAAUUAUUCUAACUUUCUUUCAUAAGCAGGCCAUGUCCUAUUUGUUUCAUCGUCGAUAUAUAAUCAUAUUUCUUGACAGUGUAACAGUUAGCUUUUUUUACAGAAGGAUGAAAGAAAACAAUAUGUCUGUCAUAUGUCUGUCAGGGAAUGCUAUUCUGAUAUGUCAGAUGAAGAGUUAGACCAGAAAGUCAGGGCCAUUAAGGCAAAGAUGCCCCAUGCGGGCUUUAGAAUGGUCAAAGGAAGUCUCAGAGCAAUGGGCCAUUGUGUACAAUGGCGAAGGGUUAGGGAGUCUUUGCAGCGUGUGAUAGUGCAGGUAUCAUUGCCAGAAUGAUCCAGCUUUGUUGCAUUGCUCGGCAAAAGUACUCUGUUCCUGCUCCCCUGUCUCUCGCCCACAUUGAUACAAAUCAUAAAUUGAUAAGGUACUAAGAUGUAUAAUGUCUCCAUCAAAUCUAAGAAUUUAUUUACAUUUUAUAUUCUUACUUAUUCGUAGACAAAUUUUCAAUGAUGUAUGAAAUUGGAGUUGUUCUUCAUCAUCUGGCAAUGCAUAAAUAAUGAAGCAGGUUAUUAAUAGGUUAAACAUGUCACUUUUAAUUCCACUGCUUUUCUUUCAAGAUACAACAGGUAAGUAUUUAUAUUAUUUUGUAUACAUAUUGCAUAUUUACCAUCACCUAAUGAACAACCACAAUACCAGUGUGGUGCUCAGCUUUCUGUGCUGUAUUGACGUCUCCUGAAAAUGAAUUCUGCUGCUUUAGAUUGAACGGUCAUAUCUGUUAGUUUUCAUAUCUACAAAAAAUAAGCCAUUUUCUUUAUUUUCAGAGUGCGAGCUGAUCAAGGGGUCGGUAAUAUAGAUAUUGCCAGAUGUUCACUGUCUGAGGAACAGGCCGUGAAAAGCUUUAUUGCUGGCAAAAGUAUCCAUAACCAGAGGUAAUUAAACUGCUCUGUGUUCUUUCUCAUCCUUUCUGCCCGUCUUGUUGUACAUGGAACCUGUCUCACAUACACAGUUUGGAGGAAGAAGGAUACCUUGACCUGUCGAAUUAUAUCCACCUCUUCUGUGUGGGAUAUGUGUUCCUACCUCGUCUGCGGGCAGAUCUACAGCAUUUCACAGAGAGUUUGAAUAAUCGCCCUUUAAGUACAGAGGUGAACCUGACACCUCACCAGCUGUCGCAUAUCGGAAUGCUUCAAAAACCUGUGCACAUUUUAGUUUCCUUAGCACUAUACAGCUGAUUCAAAUUAGUUCCCAAUCAGAGACAACGAUAAACACCUGCCUCUGAUUGAGAACCACUCUAGGCAACCAUAGACUUACCUAGACAACUCUACUAUACCACAAUCCCAUACCCUACAAAAACCCCAAGACAAAACACACCACAAAAAUAACCCAUGUCACACCCUGGCCUGAACAAAAUAAUAAAGAAAACACAAAAUACUAAGACCAGAGCGUGACAUCAUCAUCAAGCUUCAAGUGGUAUUUAUGUCUAAUAAUGACAUUAUCUUCUAUUGUUUGUCCUCAUGUGCCUGUUUUCCAGCAUAAAGUACUCUGUAGCCACUUAGUGUGGACACCAGGUGAGACCACACACACACAAUAACAGUCUAUCUCCUUCACUUCAUCCCUCUCCCCCUUCUCCCUAAAAUCCUCUAGGUUAUAUCAGCUAUGUUGGUGAACCCCUCCAACAUCUGAACUGGCUGACACAGAGGGCAGAGCAUGAUCAUAGGUAAGUUUUGAUGUGAGAGAGGAAGCCACCUCGCCACCUCACCCGCUCUUAAGAUAACCUUUGGGCCAACUGUGCUGCUGCUCCAGUUUCAACUGUUCUGCCUUAUUAUUAUUCGACCAUGCUGGUCAUUUAUGAACAUUUGAACAUCUUGGUCAUGUUCUGUUAUAAUCUCUACCCGGCACAGCCAGAAGAGGACUGGCCACCCCACAUAGCCUGGUUCCUCUCUAGGUUUCUUCCUAGGUUUUGGCCUUUCUAGGGAGUUUUUCCUAGCCACCGUGCUUUUACACCUGCAUUGUUUGCUGUUUGGGGUUUUAGGCUGGGUUUCUGUACAGCACUUUGAGAUAUCAGCUGAUGUACGAAGGGCUAUAUAAAUAAAUUUGAUUUGAUUUGAUUUGAACUGGGGGCCCAAGGCUGGUUAGGAGACACCGCUAGAGACACUCUAAUUGUGAUGAACUGAGAGAACAUUAGGGUAGCACUGUAAUUCAUUAAUCAUAUGCUGUUAGCCUCUGUUCUUACCUCUUUCCCUUUCUGUCUUCUACACCCCUCACCCCACCUUGUCUUUCUUCCUCGUUUUAUAAUGCACACCAUAUGUGCAUUAAAGUACAGAUUGAACUUGUAUUUAUAAUUUAAUAAUUACAAUUAUCAUAAUUAUAAUGCAAGUAUUAUGUGUUUAUAACACUUGGAUAAUGAACUUCUUUCAAUAAAGCGUUUCACAUUC